rnacentral:tRNA from 1 species
GCCGCAGUGCUGGAAUUGGCAGACAGGCACGGUUCAGAACCGUGUGGGGCAACCCGUAGAGGUUCAAGUCCUCUCUGCGGCA